rnacentral:ncRNA from 1 species
AUCAUGAAAAGGCAAAUCUGCAGAAAUGCAGAGACGCAAAGCUAUAGGGGCUAAGCCGGGGAAUAGGGUAUGCCAGCCAGUUAUCGAA